ACUUAAAUUGAAGAGUUUGAUCAUGGCUCAGAUUGAACGCUGGCGGCAGGCCUAACACAUGCAAGUCGAGCGGUAGCACAGAGAGCUUGCUCUCGGGUGACGAGCGGCGGACGGGUGAGUAAUGUCUGGGAAACUGCCUGAUGGAGGGGGAUAACUACUGGAAACGGUAGCUAAUACCGCAUAACGUCGCAAGACCAAAGUGGGGGACCUUCGGGCCUCAUGCCAUCAGAUGUGCCCAGAUGGGAUUAGCUGGUAGGUGGGGUAACGGCUCACCUAGGCGACGAUCCCUAGCUGGUCUGAGAGGAUGACCAGCCACACUGGAACUGAGACACGGUCCAGACUCCUACGGGAGGCAGCAGUGGGGAAUAUUGCACAAUGGGCGCAAGCCUGAUGCAGCCAUGCCGCGUGUGUGAAGAAGGCCUUCGGGUUGUAAAGCACUUUCAGCGGGGAGGAAGGCGGUGAGGUUAAUAACCUCAUCGAUUGACGUUACCCGCAGAAGAAGCACCGGCUAACUCCGUGCCAGCAGCCGCGGUAAUACGGAGGGUGCAAGCGUUAAUCGGAAUUACUGGGCGUAAAGCGCACGCAGGCGGUCUGUCAAGUCGGAUGUGAAAUCCCGGGCUCAACACCGGGAACUGCAUUCGAAACUGGCAGGCUAGAGUCUUGUAGAGGGGGGUAGAAUUCCAGGUGUAGCGGUGAAAUGCGUAGAGAUCUGGAGGAAUACCGGUGGCGAAGGCGGCCCCCUGGACAAAGACUGACGCUCAGGUGCGAAAGCGUGGGGAGCAAACAGGAUUAGAUACCCUGGUAGUCCACGCUGUAAACGAUGUCGAUUUGGAGGUUGUGCCCUUGAGGCGUGGCUUCCGGAGCUAACGCGUUAAAUCGACCGCCUGGGGAGUACGGCCGCAAGGUUAAAACUCAAAUGAAUUGACGGGGGCCCGCACAAGCGGUGGAGCAUGUGGUUUAAUUCGAUGCAACGCGAAGAACCUUACCUGGUCUUGACAUCCACAGAACUUUCCAGAGAUGGAUUGGUGCCUUCGGGAACUGUGAGACAGGUGCUGCAUGGCUGUCGUCAGCUCGUGUUGUGAAAUGUUGGGUUAAGUCCCGCAACGAGCGCAACCCUUAUCCUUUGUUGCCAGCGGUUAGGCCGGGAACUCAAAGGAGACUGCCAGUGAUAAACUGGAGGAAGGUGGGGAUGACGUCAAGUCAUCAUGGCCCUUACGACCAGGGCUACACACGUGCUACAAUGGCAUAUACAAAGAGAAGCGACCUCGCGAGAGCAAGCGGACCUCAUAAAGUAUGUCGUAGUCCGGAUUGGAGUCUGCAACUCGACUCCAUGAAGUCGGAAUCGCUAGUAAUCGUAGAUCAGAAUGCUACGGUGAAUACGUUCCCGGGCCUUGUACACACCGCCCGUCACACCAUGGGAGUGGGUUGCAAAAGAAGUAGGUAGCUUAACCUUCGGGAGGGCGCUUACCACUUUGUGAUUCAUGACUGGGGUGAAGUCGUAACAAGGUAACCGUAGGGGAACCUGCGGUUGGAUCACCUCCUUACCUUAAAGAA
rnacentral:rRNA from 1 species